rnacentral:misc_RNA from 1 species
GGCAGACUCACGAGAUGCAGCGUCUCCUGUUGGUGUGUGUCCUGCCGGCCCUCACCCUCGCCUCCUCCCUCUACGAAUACUGGGAGGCGUUUCCAGAGGACGAAGGGUAUGGACCGGGGUGUGUGGAUGGGAAACUCGUCUAUCCCGACAUCCCCGACGACAUCAAAGCAAAUUGUUUGGGUGAAAAUCCCCCCGAACCUCUUAUAAUCACCAACGACGCCGACUGUUCCUCCUACAUCAGGUGUCAUAAUGGCGAUGCCUCGCCUAUUAUAUGCUGCCAAAAGGAAUUUCUA